rnacentral:misc_RNA from 1 species
AAGUCGUAACAAGGUUUUCCGUAGGUGAACCUGCGGAAGGAUCAUUAUUGAAACUUGAAUCGUAGCAUUGAGAACUGUUGCUGACCUGUUAAAGGGUAUGUGCACGUUCGACGUGUUGCGUUCUAUUCAUCCACCUGUGCACCUUUGUAGACUUGAUUAACUUUCGCUCUCGAGCGGUUAGAAGGGUUGCUUUCGAGUUCCCUUUGUCUAUCAAGUCUAUGUCUAUAUAAUCCCUUGUAUGUCUAGAAUGUCUUGUUUAUGGGACGCAAGUCCUUUAAAUCUUAUACAA